rnacentral:ncRNA from 1 species
CUUUAAUUUUAAAGUUUGAUUCUUGCUUAUAAUUUCAUUUAUAUCUGUUUUUACAUGUUAUCUCUUGUGUGAUCUUUUAUAUUUCUUAAUGAAGUAUUAUGUUUUAUUCGCAGUAUUUAAUAUUAAUUAUUCAUGGAAGUGAGAAUUAGAUAAGGUAUUAAUUUUGACUAAGUUUGUGCCAGCAGUCGCGGUUAUACAAUAAAAGUAAAUGAAAUUUAUUGGUUUAUAUUGUUCAUUUAUGUUGAGUUGAAUUUAUUUUAAAAUUAUUAGGUGAAAUUCUAUUUUAUAAGUAGAGCUCAGGUUUGAUAUUAUAUAUGAAAAUUAUUUUUAAACUAGGAUUAGAUACCCUAUUAUUUUAAUUGUAAAUUAUUAACCUUAAUAUUAAUAGUUAUGUUCUUUAAAUUUAAAGAAUUUGGCGGUAAUUUAAUCUAUUCAGAGGAACCUGUCCUAUAAUUGAUAAUCCACGUUAAAUUUAACUUUAUUUUUGCUUGUAUACCUCUGUCAUUGAAUGUUUUAUAAGAUAAUUUUCCAAUAUUUUUAUAUAAAUAAUGUUAGGUCAAGGUGCAGUUAUAAUAAAGUAGAGAUGGGUUACAUUAAAUAUAUUUAUGAAUCAAGUUAUGUAAAUAAUUGUGAAAAUGGAUUUGAGAGUAAUUAUUAUUAAAUAAUAAUAUUGACUUUAGCUCUAAAUUAUGCACACAUCGCCCGUCACUCUCAUUAAUUUAAGAUGGGAUAAGUCGUAACAAAGUAGGCCUACUGGAAAGUGGGCCUAGUAUUAAA